GUGAGAGCCUUGUGCUACAGGUCGAUGGGGAGGAGCGAGGCACCACAGUUUGAGUCUAGGCAGGAAGCUGUGUUCAUCCCUGUUCAGUGGUGUUUGUUCGGUUAAGCAGUAGCUAAGUGUAGUCCUCAAGGGCCACCAACUUGAAUGUUUUUCAUAUCUCCCUGUUUUUCACACACAAUUUAAUAUAUUGAAUCUAAUCUAAUCUAAUGAGUACAAGGCUACAACUUUUCAAUAAACAAGAUAUUUAUUGUUGUUUGCACAGCAGAAGUACAGGUACAUUGGAAUAAUUGUGAUUCUAGGAGUCCGCUUUAAAAAAACACAUCUUUAUUUAAAGAGGGAGAGAAUAUAACAGUAAGCAUUCAGGGUGGUAGGCUUUUUCUAGCACAGUUGAAGUACCUUCAUAAGAAACAAGUUGUUUUUUACACCCAUGAUGCUGAGGUUAUAUUUCUAAUGAUUUACCUUUUUCUCUUAGAUCAAGCUUUGUGAUUCAU